rnacentral:rRNA from 1 species
AGAGUUUGAUUAUGGCUCAGGACGAACGCUGGCGGCGUGCCUAAGCUUAUGCAAGUCGAACGCGAAAGGCUCCUUCGGGAGCCGAGUAGAGUGGCAAACGGGUGAGUAACGCGUGGGUAACGUGCCCCAAUCCUGGGAAUAACCCUCGGAAACGAGGGCUAAUACCGAAUGUGGCCCCCGAUCGGAUGAUCGGUGGCUAAAGGUGGCCUCUUCUAUGCUGCCGGGUUGGGAUCGGCCCGCGUCCCAUUAGCUAGUUGGUGAGGUAACGGCCCACCAAGGCAACGAUGGGUAGCCGGCCUGAGAGGGUGUCCGGCCACACUGGCACUGAGACAAGGGCCAGUCCCCUAUGGGAGGCGCAGGCGGGAAUAGUUCCCAAUGGACGAAAGUCUGAGGACGCGACGCCGCGUGAGCGAAGAAGGCCUUCGGGUUGUAAAGCUCUGUCAGGAGGGAAGAAGGCGCUGGGUGUUAAUAGCACCAAGCGUUGACGGUACUUCCAGAGGAAGCCCCGGCUAAAUACGUGCCAGCAGCCGCGGUAAUACGUAUGGGGCAAGCGUUGUCCGGAUUAACUGGGCGUAAAGGGCACGCAGGCGGUUCGUUUAGUCGAAGGUGAAAUCCCUGGGCUCAACUCAGGAACUGCCUUCGAUACUGGCGAACUAGAGUGGCGUAGAGGAAAGCGGAACUCCUGGUGUAACGGUGGAAUGUGUAGAUAUCAGGAGGAACACCGGUGGCGAAGGCGGCUUUCUGGACGCACACUGACGCUCAGGUGCGAAAGCGUGGGUAGCAAACAGGAUUAGAUACCCUGGUAGUCCACGCCGUAAACGAUGGGUACUAGGUGUCGGGGGUAUCGAUCCCCUCGGUGCCGAAGUCAACGCAUUAAGUACCCCGCCUGGGGAGUACGGUCGCAAGGCUGAAACUCAAAAGAAUUGACGGGGACCCGCACAAGCAGCGGAGCAUGUGGUUUAAUUCGAAGCAACGCGAAGAACCUUACCAGGUUUUGACAUACCAAUGCUAUCUGAGUAAUAUCGGAGUUCCCUUUGGGACAUUGGAUACAGGUGGUGCAUGGUUGUCGUCAGCUCGUGUCGUGAGAUGUUGGGUUAAGUCCCGUAACGAGCGCAACCCUUGUCUUUAGUUGCUAACAGGUGAAGCUGAGGACUCUAAAGAGACUGCCGAUGAAGAAAUCGGAGGAAGGUGGGGAUGACGUCAAAUCAUCAUGCCCCUUAUAAUCUGGGCUACACACGUGCUACAAUGGUCGGUACAACGGGUAUGCGAAGCCGCGAGGUGGAGCUAAUCCUCAUCAAGCCGGUCUUAGUUCGGAUUGCAGAUUGAAAUUCAUCUGUAUGAAGUAGGAGUUGCUAGUAAUCGUGGAUCAGAAUGCCACGGUGAAUACGUUCCCGGGUCUUGUACACACCGCCCGUCACACCAUGGGAGUUGGAAGCACCCGAAGUCAGCUUUAAAGCUGCCGAAGGUGAAACCGAUAACUGGGGUGAAGUCGUAACAAGGUAGCC